GGCUAAGCUUCGUAGUGACCUGCGGAGGAUCAUUACCGAGUGCGGGCCCUCUGGGUCCAACCUCCCAUCCGUGUCUAUCUGUACCCUGUUGCUUCGGCGUGGCCACGGCCCGCCGAAGACUAACAUUUGAACACUGUCUGAAGUUUGCAGUCUGAGUUUUUAGUUAAACAAUAAUUAAAACUUUCAACAACGGAUCUCUUGGUUCCGGCAUCGAUGAAGAACGCAGCGAAAUGCGAUAAUUAAUGUGAAUUGCAGAAUUCAGUGAAUCAUCGAGUCUUUGAACGCACAUUGCGCCCCCUGGUAUUCCGGGGGGCAUGCCUGUCCGAGCGUCAUUGCUGCCCUCAAGCACGGCUUGUGUGUUGGGCUUCCGUCCCUGGUAACGGGGACGGGCCCAAAAGGCAGUGGCGGCACCAUGUCUGGUCCUCGAGCGUAUGGGGCUUUGUCACCCGCUCCCGUAGGUCCAGCUGGCAGCUAGCCUCGCAACCAAUCUUUUUAACCAGGUUGACCUCGGAUCAGGUAGGGAUACCCGCUGAACUUAAGCAUAUCAAUAAGCGGAGGAA
rnacentral:rRNA from 1 species